GCGGUUGUGGUGGAAUUGGCAGACACGCUGGUCUUAGGAGCCAGUACUUCGGUAUGCGGGUUCGAGUCCCGCCAACCGCACCA
rnacentral:tRNA from 1 species